UACGUAGGGGGCAAGCGUUGUCCGGAUUUAUUGGGCGUAAAGAGCGUGUAGGCGGUUAGGUAGGUCCGUUGUGAAAACUCGAGGCUCAACCUCGAGACGCCGAUGGAAACCAUCUGACUAGAGUCCGGAAGAGGAGAGUGGAAUUCCUGGUGUAGCGGUGAAAUGCGCAGAUAUCGGGAGGAACACCAAUGGCGAAGGCAGCUCGCUGGGACGUGACUGACGCUGAGACGCGAAAGCGUGGGGAGCAAACAGG
rnacentral:rRNA from 1 species